CUCAGUUUGAUUUUAUUUGCAGCUCUGGCAAAAUAAACAUUUUACAUAAAUAUUUGAAAAUAUAUUUGAAAAGAGAAAAGACAAGUUGUUUCAUAUGAAAAAACAAUGAAUCAGUCGACUGGUUGGAAGAGAACAAGACUAAAGGGCAUUGAGAAUGACAAAGAGGAUUAGUCACGUUGGAGGAGAUCACAGUUGUGGGUAGGAGGAGUUGCAUGCCCUGCCCUUGUGUGUGUAACAUUUAUGGAUUCUGUGAGGAAAUUAAUAGGAUAUAUGACAACGUCUUGAAAGCAUGGUGACCAAGAGGAUUUUGCCAAGAGAAACGUUUUCUCAUCCGGGGUAUAUUCACAUCUCAGCCUUGCUCAAACAUCAAGUGACUCUGUAAAUGAGGAUAGCGUGAGAGAAAAAGGAAAUAUAGGAUGAUGAAAGUUGAGAAGAAAUUCUGUUUAGAUGGCUUAGAGAGAAAUGCAUAGUCAGUAAAUCAUUCCAGAUUUAAGGAAUACCGAAUCCGCGUAUUCAGUGAUGGUGGGACUACCAAUGAAGAUAACGUUGUUGUGGCAUGUAAU